GCCUGGGUGGCAGGGCUGUGACUCACACCUGUAAUCCCAACACUUUGGGAGGCCAAGGCAAGAGGAUUGCUCAAGUCCAGGAGUUCUAGGCUACAGUGUACCAUGCCGAUCGGGUAUCUACACUAGGUUUGGCAUCAAUAUGGUAACCUCCCUGGUGCAGGGGUCCACUAGGUUGCCUAAGUAACUGAGCAGGUCAAAACUCUCAUGCUGAUCAGUGGUGGGAUCAUGCCUGUGAAUAGCCACUGCACUUCAGCCUGGGCAACAUAGUGAGACCCCAUCUCA
rnacentral:SRP_RNA from 1 species